CACUGCAGCUUUGAGGUCAGUGUGGUCUGAAGUGUGUGCAGUCUCUGCAAGGGGCUGAUGUUGGUCUUUCAUCGGGGUGUAAAAUGUCAGCAAUGCACUGGGAGGCUCGCCGCCGGCAAAGCGUGCUGGAUCGCAGGAUGGCCACCAGAGCCAAGCAGGGUCUCACAGAAGACAGACAGAAGCAAGGUACUACAGAAGAGGGCCCAAGGGAGACAAAUCUAACACCCUCAGUAUCAGCAGUGAACACAGAAC